AAUUAAGAAAACUUUUUGAGUUAAUAUCAUCACUGAAGUAUAAUGUGAAUCGAAUAAGAAAGAAAAAUGAUGAAUUAGAAGAAGAGGCAACUGGAUAUAAGAAACUCCUGGAAAUGACAAUAAAUAUGUUAAAUGUAUUUGGAAAUGAAGACUUUGAUUGCCAUGGAGACUUAAAAACAGAUCAACUGAAAAUGGAUAUUCUGAUUAAGAAGCUAAAACAGAAGGUA
rnacentral:lncRNA from 1 species